rnacentral:lncRNA from 1 species
AGCCCGGGCGCAGCGCAGCCCGCCGAUUCUCCAAAGCCGCCUACGCCGGUUCCGCGGCGUAGCCGCCCGGCGUCGCUGCCCCGCUUACGCAGGCGACAGCGGGCGGACUCCUCCACUGGCUCUCGCCCGAAUCCCGCUCCCUCCUCCGCCCCCGCCCCUUCAGACAAGGCUUCCGGGCCUAGCCGACGCCAGUUUCGAUCUCGCGAGAGUACUCCCUCACCUCCCCGCCGCCUCGCUCCAUUUCGAACAUGACUUCAUUGGCAUCACUGCUCUUUUGCUGCUCAAGUUUAGCCGCCAUGUUUAAAUUGGCGGGAUUUGGCACCUCCGGGGUCGUGGAUAGUCGGGCUUCUGUGCGUGUUCCUGCAACACUGCUUCUGAGGUUUUGGAGCUGCGGAAGCCGCCUGGUUGGCCUUAGGGCCUUCUUACGGAGUUGGCGUAAGGCAAAGAGGCACCCCUGGAAGAGGCCAGAUUGGGAAUCUGCGCUUGGGGCGGGAGCCGCGUCCAAACCUCCACUCCCAGAUAUCGACCUGGCGGCAUUGUGGGUGCGAGUGGAGAGACACUUCGAGGCAGGUGUCUGUGUCUUCAUCCAUCCCCGUGUCCCAGCUUCCAGGACUCUCGGGGUGGAAAGCGAGAUUAGGUCCUGGUUGCCCCCACAUUCCCUUGGCGCUGUCACUUUCUGGUGGCCUGGCACAGCGAAGAGGUCGCCUGCUGCAGCUUCCGCUGCGGACUCCCCACAGUUACACUCGUGUUAGCUCACCUUGUUGGUUACCGAUUCGCCCCUGGUGGAGCUCCACUCUGAUUAAGGAAAUGAAUGGACACACGGGAAGCUAUUAGGCGACAGAUGAAGAGUAAUUAAGUACUAAAAGUGUGUAGUUUCAUACUGUAGCAGUGAAUAUCGUUUGGUCACUGGAGCCUGCCGCCAAAUGCUUAGUAGUCAAAGUAGUCUCACUUUGCCCAGAACAGCCUAUGGUCGUUUGUACCUUUCUUGAAAAUUAAUGUCUGUCUUCGCUGUAGAGUUCAUGAACAUUAUCUUUCCUGUUAAAUUGUAUGUUAAGGAAUCAUAUACAUUUAAUAUAGAAUAUUACAUAAUACAGAAUACGUAUGUAAUAUAUAAUUAUCCUGAACCCGCGCAAGAAUGUUCAUAGCAGCAUUGCUUUUUUAGUGCAACAAAUUAAAUGUCGACUUACAGGAGAAUGGAUGAACAAGUUGCAUUAUUGGACAAACUGACAUACACGGAAUAUUAAAAAAUGGAAAUUAAUAAACCAAUGCUACUGGUGUUCA